GCCGCGGCCGCCCGCGCAGCCUCGCUCAAGCCGGUCUCCGUGGCAACGGGCUCGCGGGGGGAGGGGCCGGGCGGCGUGGGCUGCGGCGGCUGCUAUUUCUGCCGCUUCCUGUUCCUCGCGGCCACGUCGCCAUGGCAACGGUGUUACUCACCGCGGCCGCUUCCCGGCUCGGCUGGCGCGCGUGACCCCGGUCGCCCGCGCCCCCUCGUCUCUCACUUGCUGCGCUGCCGCUCCCCCCGCCUCCCUCGGCGGCGUCCUCCGCCGGCGCCCCGGUCCAGCCAGCGCGCCCCGGCGCCCCAGCCUUCCCCCUGCUUCCCCGCCCCUCUCCGCCGGUGCCCGCGGCCCGGGAGCGAGGGCGGAGGGAGGCAGAUUGAUGGGGGACGCUUAUUAAAAAACAUUGUAACCGUUUCCGUUUUUAUUACGUUGACAAGGGAGCGUUAUUUACUGUUAUUGUUUGCCGAGCGGGCCACGCCGGAGCGCGGGCGGCCUCCCGGGAGCUCACCUUUCGGGCGGGCCCGGGGAAGUCGCGGGUGGGAGCGGGAGGCGGGGGGUGGGGGCGGGGCGGCGAGGGGGCGACCCCCGGGCAGAAGCGGCCCCCGCGGGGGUCCAGCCCCUCGCCCCUCCUCCCCCCUCCCCGCCGGCCCGGCCGAGCCCCGCCGCGGGGCGUGCGUGCGCCCGGAGAGACUGCAGAGGCCGGGGGACUCGUGCUGAAGGAGAGAGGCAACAAAAAAUAAAAAAAGGAACAGAUGACUUCAUUCUCGGGAAGGCUCCGUCCUACGUGGACCAAUUUCCUGGGGACUGUGGUGGAACAGCUCGGCUGCCGUUGGAAGCACUUAAAACUAAACCAGAUAAAGACCAGAAAAUUCUCAGCAUUGCCUGAGCCGAGCAAGGACACCCGCAGGGACAAAGCCGGCAGAGGCUGGGGAACGAAAGCCAGUGGCUGGACUGGAAGCCUUGGACCAGGGUGAGGCUCAGCUGGAGGCCCAGCAAGGCAAGAUUAACUCGGCAGGUCUAAGCUCCGGCUGGCCUGGCUCCUGCUUACCCCACCGGAGCCUUCAGCUGGGGGGUUUGUGGGAGGUGGGCAAACUGAGGCCCAGAGAGGGGAAGAAACUUGACAGAGAUCUGCCACUGGUUAAAGACGGAACCUGGACCAGGACCCAGGAGCCUCGCCUUCCUUUAGAGUGCUCAGGACCCCGACUCUGAUCCUUGUGUAGAAUUAUCUGCACGCCCAGAAGUUCAGGAGCUGGGGGGCAGGAGGAUCUGAAGUCAGACUGCCUGAGUUCAAGUACAUACGUCUACGUGAGACCCAGGACAAAUGAAUUCUUCUCUCUGGGCCCCCACGGUCUUAUGUGUUAAGUGGGGAUGACAGUACCAGCCCUGGGUUGUCUUAAGGAAUAAAGGUGCUCCAAGAAAAGUCCUGGGACUAACCCGGGAACAUACUAAUACUUAAUUAAUGGUGGCGAUGUUGCUGAUGGUGGAGAAGGGGGGGGAUGCUCUUGGUUGUCAUGGGUUGACUGGUGUCCCCCCGCAAAGAUACGUCCACAUCCUCAUCCCUGGAACCUGUGAAUGUGACCUGAGUUGGAAAAAGGAUUUUUGUAGAUGUCAUGAAGUUAAGGAUACUGACAUGAGAUCAUCCUAGAUUACCCAAGUGGGGCCUCGGUGCCAUCACGAGUGUCCUUACAUGAGACAGAAGAGAAGAGCGGGAUACGGAAGGGGAGAAGGCCAAGUGCAGACUGACGCAGGGAGGGGAGUGAUGCAGCCACAAGCCCGGGAACACCUGGAGUCCCCUGAAAUGGGAAGAAACAGGGAAGGAUUCUUGCCAGGGUCUUGGGAAGCGACACAGCGCCGCUGACCCCUUCAUUUUGGCCCUCUGGCUUCCAAGAGUCUGAGAAUGAUCUUGGUUUCAGCCACCAAGCUGUGGUCAUUCGUUAGGCAGCCCCAGGAAACCAAUAGAGUGGGCAUGCCGGCUGGGAUGCCGCGGUGACAGUGGCCGUGACAAGGGCGGUGCUGGUGAUGCUGAGAGCGGCUGUAUUCAUUUCCUGGGGUUGCCUAACAAUCUACCACAACCCGUGCAACUUAGGACAACUGGAAUGUAGUGUCGAAGAGUUCUGGA